GCUGGUCUACAGGUACAAGGUGCAGGCGCACUGAUCGCCGACCGCACGCCACAAGGUAAACGAGUUUCAAGAGAUGUUCUUCCUGGGAAUGGUGCGUGUUAGCUAAUUCUAGCAAACUUAUAAUAAAUUCCACUUUCAUUAAAUAAACAGGCUUCCUAGAGUUAGGAGAAAUUAUUCAAGUUACUGUUACAUACGUUUCAAUGAUUCAGAAGUACAUUACUUUUGUAUAAAGAAUUGUGAUUGUUCGGCGACAUAUCAAAUAGGUUGAAAAA